rnacentral:tRNA from 1 species
AUAUUGUUAGUAUAAGUUUUAAUAUUCUACUUUUCCAAAGUGGGGAUCUAUUUGUUUAGACAAUAUA